rnacentral:misc_RNA from 1 species
GGCUGAGUGGCGGCGGAGG